rnacentral:rRNA from 1 species
GUGCCAGCAGCCGCGGUAAUACGUAGGGUGCGAGCGUUGUCCGGAAUUAUUGGGCGUAAAGGGCUCGUAGGCGGUUUGUCGCGUCGGGAGUGAAAUCCACUGGCUUAACUGGUGGCUUGCUUUCGAUACGGGCAGACUGGAGGUAUGCAGGGGAGAACGGAAUUCCUGGUGUAGCGGUGAAAUGCGCAGAUAUCAGGAGGAACACCGGUGGCGAAGGCGGUUCUCUGGGCAUGUCCUGACGCUGAGGAGCGAAAGUGUGGGGAGCGAACAGGAUUAGAUACCCUGGUAGUCC